rnacentral:misc_RNA from 1 species
UUUCCGUAGGUGAACCUGCGGAAGGAUCAUUCAUAAUAAAGUGUUUUAUGGCACUUUUUAAAAAUCCAUAUCCACCUUGUGUGCAAUGUUAGAUCUCGUCAAUCUUGGCGAGAUUUUUAUACAUCAACUCAUUCUUUCACUAAUUUGUCUGAAAAAUAUUAUGAAUACUUAAUUCAAAAUACAACUUUCAACAACGGAUCUCUUGGCUCUC